UACGUAGGGUGCAAGCGUUAAUCGGAAUUACUGGGCGUAAAGCGUGCGCAGGCGGCUUUGCAAGACAGAUGUGAAAUCCCCGGGCUCAACCUGGGAACUGCAUUUGUGACUGCAUGGCUAGAGUACGGUAGAGGGGGAUGGAAUUCCGCGUGUAGCAGUGAAAUGCGUAGAGAUGUGGAGGAAUACCGAUGGCGAAGGCAGCCCCCUGGGCCAAUACUGACGCUCAUGCACGAAAGCGUGGGGAGCAAACAGG
rnacentral:rRNA from 1 species